GCUCGCCCGCUCGCACGCCCCCCCGCGCCCCCCGCCUGCUGCCCUCUCGCUACCAGCUGGUCGGCCUGCGUCCCCGCGCUCCGGACUAUCGGAUGCUCGCCGGAGCCCAGUCGGCAGGGGGCGCCACGCCCGAGCUCCUGCGAGCGUCCCCGGGCCCGCCUCCCUCCGCGACGCCCCCGCCGGCCCCGCCAGCACCGGCGGCGUCGACACCCGAAAAAAUGCUGUGCGGCCCUGGUCAAUGACAAGUCUCUCCUUGCUCCUGUGCACACUCGGUCAUCCGGCAACCGCAGCUGAAGUUGCUGGCCGAACGACUUGAUCUUUGGUCAACCUGUAGUCGUUAGCGCAGCGAAUGGCAUCCAGUGUUAACCACAGGGCCCUGAUCUGAGUGGCAGAGACACUGCUCCCUGACAGCCCUCGGGUUUGAAAGCGUAGAGGUCACCUUACCCUCUCCAAACUCGGUGGGUUGCUCUAUGAAGUUGGCAUGAGCCUCUGAACUGCUUCUGCCACAUGCCUAAGGAUCUACACGGUGGUGAUAUGCUCUCUCAGCAUCCUGCUCUGGCUACCUGCUCCCAUGCCUCCCCCACCACCAUGAGCUUUUCUGGAAUUGAUGACAUGUGGACUCGUGUGAUAGAAGGACAGAGCCAACCUUUGCAGCAAGCCCUCUGACCCCUACACACAUGCUUAGUAAGCGUGAAAAGAUAUUCAAAAGGUAAAGAACCAUAGUUAACCAGGGACACUGCCAAUCAACGUUGUUAACCAGGACAUCGCCAAUUAAAGUU
rnacentral:lncRNA from 1 species